GAUGAACGCUGGCGGCGUGCCUAAUACAUGCAAGUCGAGCGAACAGAUGAGGAGCUUGCUCCUCUGACGUUAGCGGCGGACGGGUGAGUAACACGUGGAUAACCUACCUAUAAGACUGGGAUAACUUCGGGAAACCGGAGCUAAUACCGGAUAAUAUAUUGAACCGCAUGGUUCAAUAGUGAAAGACGGUUUUGCUGUCACUUAUAGAUGGAUCCGCGCCGCAUUAGCUAGUUGGUAAGGUAACGGCUUACCAAGGCGACGAUGCGUAGCCGCCCUGAGAGGGUGAUCGGCCACACUGGAACUGAGACACGGUCCAGACUCCUACGGGAGGCAGCAGUAGGGAAUCUUCCGCAAUGGGCGAAAGCUUGACGGAGCAACGCCGCGUGAGUGAUGAAGGUCUUCGGAUCGUAAAACUCUGUUAUUAGGGAAGAACAAAUGUGUAAGUAACUAUGCACGUCUUGACGGUACCUAAUCAGAAAGCCACGGCUAACUACGUG
rnacentral:rRNA from 1 species